GACGAGGGAUCCUAGCGUUGUUCGGAAUCAUUGGGCGUAAAGCGGAUGUAGGUGGCUUUGUAAGUCAGGUGUGAAAAGCCCCGGGCUCAACCCGGGAAGUGCAUUUGAUACUGCGAAGCUUGAGUGCUGGAGAGGUUACUAGAAUACCUGGUGUAGUGGUGAAAUACGUAGAUAUCAGGUGGAAUACCGGAGGCGAAGGCGGGUAACCAGCCAGACACUGACACUCGAGUCCGAAAGUGUGGGGAUCAAACAGG
rnacentral:rRNA from 1 species